ACAGACAUGACCACACCAUGAAAACAACAUAUGCUCAGUGUCCUCUCCACAGUCCCUGAAUGCACUGAUUCUAGUCAUGGAAUGGAGCUGGGUCUUUCUCUUCCUCCUGUCAGUAACUGCAGGUGUCCACUCCCAGGUUCAGCUGCAGCAGUCUGGAGCUGAGCUGGUGAAACCUGGGGCUUCAGUGAAGCUGUCCUGCAAGGCUUCUGGCUACACAUUCACUAGCUAUACUAUGCAGUGGGUGAAGCAGAGGCCUGGACAGGGCCUUGAGUGGAUUGGAUGGAUUUAUCCUGGAGAUGGUGAUACUAACUACAAUGAAAAGUUCAAGGGCAAGGCCACACUGACUGCAGACACAUCCUCCAACACAGCCUACAUGCAACUCAGCAGCCUGACAUCUGAGGACUCUGCGGUCUAUUACUGUGCAAGA